AGAGUUUGAUCCUGGCUCAGAGUGAACGCUGGCGGCGUGGAUUAGGCAUGCAAGUCGAGCGAUCCUUGCUGAUUCAAUGAAUGCUUGCAUUUAAAGAAGAAGCGCGGGAUAGCGGCAAACGGGUGAGUAACGCGUAAGUAAUCUUCCUCAAAGACGGGGAUGGCAUCGCGAAAACGGUGGUAAUACCCGAUGUGGACAUAGAAUCUUAUGAUUCCUGUUUAAAGGUGGGGACCUUCGGGCCUGCCACUUUGAGAUGAGCUUGCGUCCUAUCAGCUUGUUGGUGAGGUAAUGGCUCACCAAGGCAUAUGACGGGUAGUUGGUCUGAGAGGAUGAUCAGCCACACUGGGACUGAGACACUGCCCAGACUCCUACGGGAGGCUGCAGUCGAGAAUCUUUCACAAUGGACGAAAGUCUGAUGAUGCGACGCCGCGUGCAGGAUGAAGGCCUUCGGGUUGUAAACUGCUUUUGUUAGGAAAGAAACUUGUUUGGUUAAUAGCCAUACAGCUGACGGUACCUGACGAAUAAGCCACGGCCAAAUACGUGCCAGCAGCCGCGGUAAUACGUAUGUGGCAAGCGUUACUCGGAAUUAUUGGGUGUAAAGGGCAAGUAGGCGGUCUAAUAAGCGAGGGGUGAAAUCUACCGACUCAAUCGGUAAACUGCCUUUCGAACUGUUAGACUUGAGGCUGAGAGAGGGAAAUGGAAUUAGCAGUGUAAGGGUGAAAUCUGUAGAUAUUGCUAAGAACACCAGCGGCGAAGGCGAUUUCCUGGCUCAGAUCUGACGCUGAAUUGCGAAAGUUAGGGGAGCAAACAGAAUUAGAUACUCUGGUAGUCCUAACUGUAAACGAUGAGUACUAGGUGUUGGACCUUCGGGUUCAGUGCCGCAGCUAACGCAUUAAGUACUCCACCUGGGGACUACGGCCGCAAGGCUAAAACUCAAGGAAUUGACGGGGACCCGCACAAGCGGUGGAACAUGUGGUUUAAUUCGAUGCUACGCGAAGAACCUCACCAGGGCUUGACAUAUACGCAGUAGUGAACCGAAAGGGGAACGAACCGUUAAGUCCGGUAACGUAUACAGGUGCUGCAUGGCUGUCGUCAGCUCGUGUCGUGAGAUGUUGGGUUAAGUCCCGCAACGAGCGCAACCAUUGCCCUAUGUUGCCACUCUAUCCUUCGGGGUAGAAGCACUCUUAGGGGACUGCCUGGGAUAACCAGGAGGAAGGUGGAGAUGACGUCAAGUCAGUACGGCCUUUAUGCCCUGGGCUACACACGUGUUACAAUGGCAGGUACAAAGGGUUGCCAACCCGCGAGGGGGAGCUAAUCUCAAAAAACCUGCCCCAGUUCGGAUAGGAGUCUGCAACUCGACUCCUUGAAGCCGGAAUCGCUAGUAAUGGAAGAUCAGCUCGCUUCCGUGAAUACGUUCCCGGGUCUUGUACACACCGCCCGUCAAGCGAUGGAAGCCGGGGGUACCCGAAGUCCUAUGUAGAUAGGCCGAAGGUAAAACUGGUGACCGGCGCUAAGUCGUAACAAGGUA
rnacentral:rRNA from 1 species